GUGAAUGAGGUUUUGAAUUUGCAGGCCUUCCGUGAAUCAUCGAAUCUUUGAACGCAAAUUGCACUCCCUGGCAUUCCGGGGAGUAUGCCUGUUUGAGGGUCAGUCUAGUG
rnacentral:rRNA from 1 species